AGUUAACGCUGGCGGUAGGCCUAACACAUGCAAGUCGAACGGCAGCACAGUAAGAGCUUGCUCUUACGGGUGGCGAGUGGCGGACGGGUGAGGAAUACAUCGGAAUCUACUUUUUCGUGGGGGAUAACGUAGGGAAACUUACGCUAAUACCGCAUACGACCUACGGGUGAAAGCAGGGGAUCUUCGGACCUUGCGCGAUUGAAUGAGCCGAUGUCGGAUUAGCUAGUUGGCGGGGUAAAGGUCCACCAAGGCGACGAUCCGUAGCUGGUCUGAGAGGAUGAUCAGCCACACUGGAACUGAGACACGGUCCAGACUCCUACGGGAGGCAGCAGUGGGGAAUAUUGGACAAUGGGCGCAAGCCUGAUCCAGCCAUACCGCGUGGGUGAAGAAGGCCUUCGGGUUGUAAAGCCCUUUUGUUGGGAAAGAAAAGCAGCAGGUUAAUACCCCGCUGUUCUGACGGUACCCAAAGAAGAAGCACCGGCUAACUUCGU
rnacentral:rRNA from 1 species